rnacentral:rRNA from 1 species
UGAGGAAUAUUGGACAAUGUGCGCAAGCCUGAUCCAGCCAUGCCGCGUGCAGGAAGAAGCAUCUAUGGUGUGUAAACUGCUUUUGUACGGGAAGAAACACUCCUACGUGUAGGAGCUUGACGGUACCGUAAGAAUAAGGAUCGGCUAGCUCCGUGCCAGCAGCCGCGGUAAUACGGAGGAUCCAAGCGUUAUCCGGAAUCAUUGGGUUUAAAGGGUCCGUAGGCGGUUUAAUAAGUCAGUGGUGAAAGCCCAUCGCUCAACGAUGGAACGGCCAUUGAUACUGCUAGACUUGAAUUACAAGGAAGUAACUAGAAUAUGUAGUGUAGCGGUGAAAUGCUUAGAUAUUACAUGGAAUACCAAUUGCGAAGGCAGGUUACUACUUGUGGAUUGACGCUGAUGGACGAAAGCGUGGGGAGCGAACA